rnacentral:rRNA from 1 species
UACGUAGGGACCGAGCGUUGUCCGGAUUCAUUGGGCGUAAAGAGCUCGUAGGCGGCUGUUCAAGUCGAACGUGAAAACUCGGAGCUCAACUCCGAGCCUGCGUUCGAUACUGGACGGCUAGAGUCUGGUAGGGGGAUCUGGAAUUCCUGGUGUAGCGGUGGAAUGCGCAGAUAUCAGGAGGAACACCGAUGGCGAAGGCAGGUCUCUGGGCCACUACUGACGCUGAGAAGCGAAAGCAUGGGGAGCGAACAGG